AAGUCGUAACAAGAUUUCCGUAGGUGAAGGCGCAAGCCCCCCUAUAACAAACGCUGCUAAGCGCGGCCGCGAUAAUACGCAGUCGACCAAAAACCGAACAACUGGUAACAAUGGAUAUCUUGGUUCUC
rnacentral:misc_RNA from 1 species